rnacentral:lncRNA from 15 species
UGUGUGUGUGUGUGUGUGUGUGUGUGUGUGUGUGUGUGUGUGUGUGUGAGCAGAUGGUGUCGCAGACGGAGCUGGUUCUGAUCCAGCAGAGGAUGAGGAAGAUGAAGCAGCUGCAGCAGAAUCAACAGUCGCUGACUGAGACGGCAGAAAAAGCCCGAACCACCGACGACGUUCUGGCUCUGCUGUCCCACACGGUUCAGGUUAAAUCCCAGCUGAAGGACCUCGUGGAUCAGGACUCGUCUCCUCCUGAGAAGAUGUCCGUGAUGAACGUGGUCACUGAUUCGGACUCUCUGAGGACGCUGUUCAGUUUCGGUAAACUUAAUGUUUCCUGGGUCCCCUUCUCUGUCUCUCCAACCUCCAAUCAGAGCAGAGACACUCCAGCCUCCUCCUCCUCUCUCCCUCCCACCUCCCUCACACUCCUCCCCCAAACCAGCACCACCUUUAACUCCCCUGUUCCACCGGCUCCAACCACCUGCUCUACAUUAAUGUCUGCAUCCAACCAAUCCCGUGCUCCUGUGACCGCCGCCUCCUUCCGACAACCGUCGUCCUCCACUGCAGAGACAUUGUCUCACCCGGGGAGAGACCCAACACGGAGGCAGACGAACCAACCGGUCAGUUUGGGUUUCUACUCGUCGGCCGGCCCGUCUCCGUCCUGUAAGGUUGUCAAAGUCAUCCAACCGUCGGUGGGUCCGAACCAACCGGCCGUUCCCGGUCCGCCGACAAACGUUCACACUGUGUACCGGAUGUCCUACGUGCCUGAGUUCCUCAGUCCGGCUGCAUCCAAACCCAGUGACACUACCUCACAGAAGAGCCUGUUCCAUCUGUUGCCCCCUCCUUCCUCCUCCUCCUCCUCCCCCUCUCUCACUCUUUCUACCUCCACCUGUCUUUCACCCUCCCGUGGGACCCUCCCUCAAACCGGGAACACCUGUGACUCACCUGUUCCGGUCCACUGUCCGUCUACAUCAAGGUCUCCGUCCAGUCAGUCUGAUGCUUCCGGGAUGUCGACCACCAAACAACAUCCAUCCUGCGACACUCUGAGGACGUCUCACCUGGAGGAGAAGCGAAGUCAGGUGUCCACCUCAGUGAUCGCCACAGGAGACCAGAUCUCUGUCGGACUGGGUCCCACAGCGCCACCCAGCGUCCCUCUGUCCUGCUCCUCUCCGAACCACCAGCCUCAGAGUCCCGUGGUGAGGGCGGUGGCGGACUCCGCCUGUGACCGCAGCGUGCAGCAGGUCGCAGCAAGGCGGCAGGAACCUGCAGAGAACGAACCGACGUCCACUGUGUCUGAAGAAACCGAGCCUGCUGGGAAACUGCCUGCAGCUGAGGAACCGAGCUCUGUGAUUGGACGGCCGGAUUGCAGUCUGAGCCAAUGGCAGCCCACAGUGCCUCUGUUCAGACUGCCUGUGUCUAUGCCCCCCCCCGGGUGUCCCCUCCCUGGGUUUCGUCUGGUCCUCGGCGAUGCUGAAGAUGAGAUUUACCUGGAAGAGAUGAGUGAGGACUCUCAGGUAGGAAGCUGUGAAGGUCUGCCCCCCCCCGUCAGGUUCACAGUGUCUUUACUAUAAAGUAAUAACUCACAGUAGGAUGAGCCAGAACCUACUGAAGCCCUGAAAGGCAAGUGGUCGGAUUUUAUUUGUAAAAACAUAAAGGUUCUCUUUGUUUCAGGACUUUUUUAGGUUCAAAGUUCAUAAGAAACAAAAGAAGUCAUUAUUAUGUUUGUAUUUUAAAAGUGUAUAACCUGAAGGCCCGGACACACCAACCCGAUUAUCGGCCGUCAGACGUUUUCGGACAGUCUGGUGAGGUCGGUGACUCGAGUCGGUUCAGUGUGUCCCGUGCCGUCGUCAGUCGGCGUCGGCGUUCAUUUUGGCUGAUUCGACAUGUAGAAUCGCCCAGUGGCCGUCGGCCUCAAUGACCAAUCUGAUUGGUGGAGUGCUAGCCCUUGACUAGCGAAUC